CUUUUUUUUGUUUUUUAUGGAUUAACAAAAUUACAGAUCUCCUACUCCCAUUCUCUCCCUUGCUCCAGAAAAGAGAUUGUGAGAGAGGAUUGCUGUAUUCCGAGAAUCUCACAAGGGAAUGGACAAACAUACCAGAUUCCUCUCUCUCUCGUUGCGGCGCUGGCUACCUUUUAUCCAGUUGACAUAUGGAACUCUCUCCGUUUAGAACACCCGAUGCUAUCAUAACCAUAUUCUUUGUUACUGUGCUCGUUCAUGUUGCAUGGAGUGCAUGUGAAGUUAAGCUUGAAGCUGCUCACUUCAAAUCAAUUGCUGCCCACACCACUUGUCUAUAAUUCUUGCCCUUGUUAUUCUAAUCAUAGUCCUUGACCUAGCAAUUGGGUGGUCAUUUUUUUCUUAUUAGUCUUGUUUGUUGUUUAUAUGGGCUUAUGUGAGGAAUUGUUAUAAUUGCAUGAAUUGUUGUAUAAUGCAGUGAAUUGUUGUAUAAUGCAGUUCUGCAAGCAUAUAGGGGCUUAUCCAAUGUAAUUCUGCAAGCAUAUGGUUUUUCCAAUGUAGUUAUUGAAGUAUAUGUAGAUCAUGGCAUGAUAGAAGAGUUAAAUGUUGAGUUAACUAGGUCACUUGUGUAACCUGAUGGAGCCAUUGAAGAGAAUCAUUUGUUGGUGUCUCAUUGGAUUUGUUACCAGACAGUGUUUAUCUACAAAUGAUUCUCUUCAAUGGCUCGGUCGGGUUACACAAGCAACCUAGUUGGCUUAGUAUUUAUCGCUUCUGUCAUGCUAUGACCUAUAUAUACUUGAGUAACUGUAUUAUAAAGACCAUAUACUUGGAGAACUACAUUGCAAAGAUCCCUAUAUGCUAGAACCGCAUCGUAAAGACCCAUAAGCUUGGAGAAUUGCCUUCUAUAAUGAUUCAUACAAUUAUGCUCAUUCCUCGUGUAAAGUAUAUGCUACCCAUAUAAACAAUAAGACCCAUGAGAAAAAAAAUAACCACUCAAUUAUUAGGUAAAGGAUUAUGAUUAGCUGGCUAGACAAUUAGUGCGGGCAGCAAUUGAAUGCUAUAGAUAUACACAUGAAAUUAGAGUAUGUAAACCCUUUUUGUGGUCCUAGUUUUUUUUUUUUUUUUUUUGAAAUCUCAUAUCUGUAUAUGGUUGGUGGUAAUAAAAAUACCAAAAGAUAUGGACCGCUACCAAAAUAUUAUGUAAUAUGUAUAGAUAUGGUUGCUUGGUGUGAAUGAAAUUACAUAUGCUAUUUUGACAAGUAUGAUUGUAACUUGGUUUUAACAAUCGCACCUCUCUUGGUACCUU